rnacentral:rRNA from 1 species
GACGAACCGUGCGAACGUUGUUCGGAAUCACUGGGCUUAAAGGGCGCGUAGGCGGGUCAUCAAGUCCGGGGUGAAAGCCCCCAGCUUAACUGGGGAAGUGCCUUGGAUACUGAUGGUCUCGAGGGGGGGUAGGGGCAGUGGGAACUUCCGGUGGAGCGGUGAAAUGCGUUGAUAUCGGAAGGAACGCCGGUGGCGAAAGCGCACUGCUGGACCUUUUCUGACGCUGAGGCGCGAAAGCCAGGGGAGCAAACGGG